rnacentral:siRNA from 1 species
AUAGUUCUGGUGUACAUGUUC